rnacentral:rRNA from 1 species
CAAUAGCGUAUAUUAAAGUUGUUGCAGUUAGAACGCUCGUAGUCGGAUUUCGGGGCGAGCCUUCCGGUCUGCCGAUGGGUAUGCACUGGUCGGGUCGUCCUUCCUUCCGGAGACCGUCCCUACUCUUAACUGAGCGGGGGCGGGAGACGGAAUUUUUACUUUGAAAAAAUCAGAGUGUUUCAAGCAGGCAGCUCGCUCUUGCAUGGAUUAGCAUGGGAUAAUGAAAUAGGACUUUGGUGCUAUUUUGUUGGUUUCGAACACCGAAGUAAUGAUGAGAAGGGACAGUCAGGGGCACUCGUAUUCCGCCGAGAGAGGUGAAAUUCUCAGACCAGCGGAAGACGAACCACUGCGAAAGCAUUUGCCAGGGAUGUUUUCACUGA